GUCCUAGAGAAGAUACAAUGAGUUAUAUUUUAACAUAAUUGUGGUUCCUCAACAUAAAAAAAUCUUCAACAUAAAUCAAGAAAAGUUUAAAAUUUUCAUUUUAUUUAAGCGACUUAUAUUGGCUCCGAUAUGGCCUUUCAAAUAGCACAUCAAUCUCUCAUUAUUUUACUAUGACGAUCAAUUUUGGCUACUUAAGUUGAAAAGUUGCUAGUCCUCAUGAGAAUAAAUUAAUAGAAAUUGACGAUAGUUCGUCGAAUAAUACAAAUUUUAUUACACUCAACUUUAAGAAAAGUCGAUUUUUAAUUAUUAUUAUUGGAUUUCUAAAUGACAAAACAACAAAUAAUAGGACAUAAAUCUCACUGAUUAACAAAAAUAUAUUCCACUAUAACCUAGUUUAAUUAUAUGUAGGACCCUAAAAUGCAUUAAAAAUUUGUUUCUACAUCGUUAUAUAAUCUUAUUUCUAUAUUGUUGAUAAAAAUUAACUAUUACAAUGGAAAGAAUAAAAUAUUUGUCUCUAAAUAGCCUGAUUUUCUCGUCCCAAAUCGAUCAGAAAAACAAAAAAAUAUUGUAAAAGUCUAGUCAAUUUUAGAGAUUUUUUGUACAUAUUACUUUGAUUUAAUUCAAAUAUCAGUGUUUAUUCUAGAUGUCAAGUGUUACUCAACGCUGGUGUUCAUUCUUUUUCAUUUAUUCUUAUAGACAUUUAAUGGAGUAUAAUCAAGAUUUAUUAGAUUUUUGUCCAUUUUAUGUUGUACAAAUAUCAACUUUGAGUCGUCAAGAGCGCUCCGCCUUCAAUUAUUUUACUUCUUGAUAUAAACAAGAAGAUAAUUGGAAUACAAUGUUCCUAUCUGCUACAUUGGGUUUUCUAAAGAAGCUCGCAACUAAUCUUAUUAUCUACAAGGUGGUACGACUGUCUGUAACAAGUUGUUUAAAAAUGGUGCAUACUCAGAAGAAUUCAGCCAGCGCUGUUUCUGUGAGAAACAUACUUAAAUGUUAUUUUUUAUUAAAUAACUAGUGGUGGUACCCGGAUCAAUUAGGCGUCGACUAAAAGGCCAAUUUUACUUUAAUAAUAUAGAAGAUAACGCCCCAAAAAUCCUUGGUGUUACUCUCCGUUUUUUAUGAGUAUACUCACAAGUAAGUACUCAAUACGAUAAUACUUGAAUCAAUUAAUUUGAUGUCUUCUCUCUUCAAGAAUGAAAGAUAAGAGUUUGAGAAAAAAAAAUUAGGGAUGACUGAUGAGUACUUUAAUCUGUACAGCGGUCACUAACGAAAUUCAUUUUAACAUCCACAUGAAUUCUGAUAAACAUAAGAGGAUAAUAAAAGCAGACAGCAACUCUGCUCUUUGUUAUACAUGCGAACGCCUGCAAUGUUUCAUUAAUACGACUAUAUUGUUAUUUCCUAAAUCAAAGAAUGCUUAUAAUAUAUACAUCAUUGAGUACUAUAUACAGUGCUCCCGGUGACUUGUUAUACAUUCAAAUACUUUUACAGACAUAAAUACAAGCUUUGAUUUAUUAA
rnacentral:lncRNA from 1 species